GAUGAACGCUAGCUACAGGCUUAACACAUGCAAGUCGAGGGGCAGCAUGUCGUGUGCUUGCACACGGUGAUGGCGACCGGCGCACGGGUGAGUAACGCGUAUCCAACCUUCCCUGGGGUCCGGAAUAGCCCGGUGAAAACCGGAUUAAUGCCGGAUGUCGUGCGAUGAUGGCAUCAGAGUUGCACGAAAGGCUUGCCGCCUCGGGAUGGGGAUGCGUCUGAUUAGGCAGCAGGCGGGGUGACGGCCCACCUGGCCUUCGAUCAGUAGGGGUUCUGAGAGGAAGGUCCCCCACACUGGAACUGAGACACGGUCCAGACUCC
rnacentral:rRNA from 1 species